GCCCUAAAUCUAGCCCACACAUCUUCCUAUACCACCACCCCUCAACCGCCAAUAAACAAAACAUUUUAACAAUUUAGUACAGGCGAUCGAAAAUUUUAUAGGCGCUUCAGAUAAAGUACCGCAAGGGAAUGAUGAAAUAGUAAUGAAAUAACCUCAAAGCCUAAAACAGCAGAGCCUCUCCCUCGUACCUUUUGCAUCAUGGUCUAGCUAGUCUUCCCAGGCAAAGUGAAAGCUUUAGUCUGACUUCCCGAAACUAAGCGAGCUACUUCAAAACAGCCUUAGAGCUAACCCGUCUCUGUUGCAAAAGAGUGGGAAGAUUUUCAAGUAGAAGCGAUAAACCUACCGAGCUUAGAGAUAGCUGGUUGUUCAGGAAAAGAGUUUAAGCUCUACCUUAAGUUUUCUUAUUACACCAAACAAAAUACUAGACUUAAGAGCUAUUCAAAUAAGGUACAGCUUAUUUGAAAAAGGCUACAACCUACAAUACUGGGUUAAUAUUGAUUUUAUCAACAAAGUGGGCCUAAGAGCAGCCAUCUUAUAGAAAGCGUUAAAGCUCAACUAUCUCCUCUCCUAAAUUCCAAAAAUUAUCUUCAACCCUUCAUUAUUACUGAACUAUUUUAUAUAUUUAUAAAAGUUAUCAUGCUAGAACUAGUAACAAGAAUUAGCCCUUCUCCAAAAUGUACACUUAAGCCAAAAUGGACACCCCAUUGGCAGUUACCGCAAAUGCACCUAUUAUAGUACCUCCCAACUAGACAACUCUAUAACUCUUAGCGUUAACCUGACACCAGAGCAUUACAGGAAAGAUUAAAAGAGAAAGAAGGAACUCGGCAAAUAAUCGGUCCCGCCUGUUUACCAAAAACAUCGCCUCUUG
rnacentral:rRNA from 1 species